CUGAUGGGAAGAGUAGUAUUUUAACCCUAUGGGCUGUUCUGUCAAACAUAGCCCAUGGAGUUAAAAUAAUACUCUUCCCAUCAG
rnacentral:pre_miRNA from 1 species